CUCUGUCAUAAGACCGCAAAGGCAGCCGACGACACAGAACUGAAUGUGCUCAACCGUGUGUCCCCAGAGGUCCAUAUACGGAUGUCAAAUUUUGAAUGACAUAGUUUGUGGAAAGAAGACAAUACCUACGAGGUACGGAACAACUGCACACCCUAGAAAGAAAGCUAUCUGCUCUUCCUUUCUAACUUAUACUCUCCCAACCCCAGCAGCUUUAUCCCCAGCCACCACCAACUCCCACCCCACCACUGUGGGGUUGCCUUUUCGAGAGCUUCUCAUAAAUGGAAUCGUACGGCGUACAAUACUGAGGUUAUGUUUCUUCUCAAGGUGUAUCAUCAACUUUGAGCUUCUCCCAAGUCAUGGUUCUGUGUGACUCCACCGUUAGCUCAGCCCUAAGAUCUCCUUCUGGCGUGAAGAGUUCAGACUCCUUCCCUUCAUAUACCCAUGUUUACAUCACUGUCUAGAAUUUUCUUAUAUUUGACACCAGAGGAAAUGAAUGUUUUAAACCCUCAAAGUCCAAUGGCCCAAAGCCCACGCUGAAAAACAAGCCAAUUUCCAUGGAUUUAAAAAAUUCCAGAUUUUCCAUUUUCAAUGCAGAUUCAUAAAAGGAAAUUCCAUCCAUUGUGAAGAUCAUCAUUCAUCAAGUUUAUUGCUCCAAACAGCCUGCCUUAGGAGACUACCUGGCUGAAGAACUUCUACGUAGUUUCAUUCUGUGCGUAGAAAUGCACACUUACUGCUUUGGCACGGAGAGUCGGUGCAAGGCAUCCCACACUGCACACACGUACACUCCUCCAAAUGAUACAAGUCAGAGACUGAUCUGUGGCUCUCUUCAAGAGGUCGUUCUUUCACCUUCAACUACAAGGAACUGGGGUAUUUUCAAAAUCAGUCAUCUUGCCAUUCUACAAAUGAACCAGAGUCUUUGUCAAAACUGGAAACCAGUCUGUAUUUCAUGCCCCCAGAGAAUACGAAAUUAUUCACACAAAGGGAUUUUUAACAUGCUGGCUUUGGCGCUAUGAUUGGCACCUUCUCCCUCACUCCUAACGCCCCCAAAUAUCUCUCACAUGUGUCACACUGUGCUUAAAGUUGGCCUGAGUGUAAUAUAGUUUUUUCAUAGUAAAAACUGUGAUCAGGUCGGUGUGUUUGUGUCUUUUAUUUGCAAUGCUGGCAGUAAUAGCUAUUUACAGUGGGCCUU